CGAUGGCGAUGCGUCCCAUUAGCUAGUUGGCGGGGUAACGGCCCACCAAGGCUCCGAUGGGUAGGGGUUCUGAGAGGAAGGUCCCCCACACUGGAACUGAGACACGGUCCAGACUCCUACGGGAGGCAGCAGUGAGGAAUAUUGGUCAAUGGACGCAAGUCUGAACCAGCCAAGUAGCGUGCAGGAUGACGGCCCUCCGGGUUGUAAACUGCUUUUAGUUGGGAAUAAAAGGGGGCUCGUGAGCCCCGUAUUGUGUGUACCAUCAGAAAAGGGACCGGCUAAUUCCGUGCCAGCAGCCGCGGUAAUACGGAAGGUCCGGGCGUUAUCCGGAUUUAUUGGGUUUAAAGGGAGCGUAGGCCGGCUUUUAAGUCAGCUGUGAAAGUCCGCGGCUCAACCGUGGAAUUGCAGUUGAAACUGGAGGCCUUGAGUGCACACAGGGAUGCCGGAAUUCAUGGUGUAGCGGUGAAAUGCUUAGAUAUCAUGAAGAACUCCGAUCGCGAAGGCAAGUGUCCGGGGUGCAACUGACGCUGAGGCUCGAAAGUGCGGGUAUCAAACAGGAUUAGAUACCCUGGUAGUCCGCACCGUAA
rnacentral:rRNA from 1 species